rnacentral:rRNA from 1 species
UACGUAGGGUGCGAGCGUUGUCCGGAAUUAUUGGGCGUAAAAGGCUCGUAGGCGGUUUGUCGCGUCGGGAGUGAAAACUCAGGGCUUAACCCUGAGCCUGCUUCCGAUACGGGCAGACUAGAGGUAUGCAGGGGAGAACGGAAUUCCUGGUGUAGCGGUGAAAUGCGCAGAUAUCAGGAGGAACACCGGUGGGGAAGGCGGUUCUCUGGGCAUUACCUGACGCUGAGGAGCGAAAGUGUGGGGAGCGAACGGG